UACGGAGGGGGCAAGCGUUGCUCGGAAUUAUUGGGCGUAAAGGGCGCGUAGGCGGUCGUGUGCGUCGGAGGUGAAAUCCCCGGGCUUAACCCGGGAACUGCCUCCGAUACGGCAUGGCUUGAGUCCGGGAGAGGGGAGCGGAAUUCCCAGUGUAGCGGUGAAAUGCGUAGAUAUUGGGAGGAACACCGGUGGCGAAGGCGGCUCCCUGGACCGGUACUGACGCUGAGGCGCGAAAGCGUGGGUAGCAAACAGG
rnacentral:rRNA from 1 species